AGCGAACGCUGGCGGCAGGCCUAACACAUGCAAGUCGAACGAACCUUUCGUGGUUAGUGGCGGACGGGUGAGUAACACGUGGGAACGUGCCUGUAUGUUCGGAAUAAUUCAUGUAAACUUGUGCUAAUACCGGAUGUGUUCUUCUGGUGCAAGAUUUAUCGCCUUUAGAGCGGCCCGCGUCGGUUCAGCUAGUUGGUUGUGGUAAUGGCUCACCAAGGCUAGGUACAUUAGCUGGUCUGUGAGGAAGAUCAGCCACAUUGGGACUGAGACGCGGCCCAGACUCCUACAGGAGGGAGCAGAGGGGAAUCUAGCGAAAUCGGCUAAAGCAUGAAGGAGCUAGGCCGGGUGAAUGAUGAAGGUCUUAGGAUAGUAAAAUUCUUUCAUCGGGGACGAUAAUGACGGUACCCGGAGAAGAAGCCCCGGCUAACUUCGUG
rnacentral:rRNA from 1 species